ACUUGCACUUUGGCUUCGGGACACAUGGGGCUGCAUCAAGGCUGACAGGAACCCACAGCCUCUUCAGGAUGCGCGGUGAGUUUUCAGGGGAUGUGGGGCCAUGUCCAGGCUGACGGGAGCCCCCGGCCUCCUGAGAACCUGCUGUGAGGCUUCCAGAGGAUGUGAGGCAUACUCCACGGUGACAGGAGACCCGGCGUCCUCAGGACCCGCUGACUAUGACUCUGGAACACGUGGGGCCACGUGCGCACUCACAGGAGCCCAGCUUCCUCAGGACCCCCUAGAGGACUCUGGAGGCGCCGUUGGGGGCCACGUCCACAUCAGAAGGGACUACUCAGAACCACAGGGAGGAAGUUACUAUGUGUAUUCCGGAAAUAAGAGUGGGAAGCUAUGCUCAUGAACUUGACGGUGAAAUACUGUUGUGCCCAAGAUUGCGAAUCCGAGAAACCACCAAGAAGCCGACAGUGAUGAAAACACACGAGGGUUUACUUACAAGCUCGAGCUUCUGUCCAAUUAUACCCGACAGAGCGGAGCAGGGAGUUGGAC